GGAGGGUAUAGCUCAAGUGGUAGAGCACAUGCUUAGCAUGCAUGAGGUCCUGGGUUCAAUCCCCAGUGCCUCCA
rnacentral:tRNA from 1 species